UCUUUAUAAUAAAUUUAUUUUAGUGGGUUAUUUUAUUUAUAUUUUAAUUUUAAUAAUUAAUUAUUUUAUUGGGGUGAUAUAAAAAUUUAAUUAACUUUUUAAUAUAAAAUUUCUUAAAUUAAAGAUUUAAAUACUAUGAUCUAUUAUUAAUAAUUCAAAGAAUAAGA
rnacentral:rRNA from 1 species